rnacentral:rRNA from 1 species
GACGAACGCUGGCGGCGUGCUUAGCACAUGCAAGUCGAACGGAAAGGCCCUGCUUUUGUGGGGUGCUCGAGUGGCGAACGGGUGAGUAACACGUGAGUAACCUGCCCUUGACUUUGGGAUAACUUCAGGAAACUGGGGCUAAUACCGGAUAGGAGCUCCUGCUGCAUGGUGGGGGUUGGAAAGUUUCGGCGGUUGGGGAUGGACUCGCGGCUUAUCAGCUUGUUGGUUGGGUAGUGGCUUACCAAGGCUUUGACGGGUAGCCGGCCUGAGAGGGUGACCGGCCACAUUGGGACUGAGAUACGGCACAGACUCCUACGGGAGGCAGCAGUGGGGAAUAUUGCACAAUGGGCGGAAGCCUGAUGCAGCAACGCCGCGUGCGGGAUGACGGCCUUCGGGUUGUAAACCGCUUUCGCCUGUGACGAAGCGUGAGUGACGGUAAUGGGUAAAGAAGCACCGGCUAACUACGUG